rnacentral:rRNA from 1 species
GACAGAGGGUGCAAACGUUGCUCGGAAUUACUGGGCGUAAAGCGCGUGUAGGUGGAUUGGUGUGUCAGAUGUGAAAGCCCUGGGCUCAACCCAGGAACUGCACCUGAAACUACCAGUCUUGAGUGGUGGAGAGGGAAGUGGAAUUCCUGGUGUAGAGGUGAAAUUCGUAGAUAUCAGGAGGAACACCAGUGGCGAAGGCGGGUCUCUGGGCCGAUACUGACGCUGAGGAGCGAAAGCUAGGGGAGCAAACGGG